UGGAUUUAUAAAAAACCGUUAAGGUGAGUGUGUCUGUUGCAUUUGUUAAUGACACGGGUAUAAAUAAAGUUUUUUUGACAUUCAGCUACACUGUGACGGUCAGCGUUAUUUCUCUAAAUAAGUUUAGGUAACUUGUAAGUUUAGAUAACAUAAUUUAAAACUAGCAAAUUAUUGCAUGCACAUACGGUACAAAGCAUGAUUAUUUAUUUAGAUUUCAGAAUGAGCACGUUUAUUGUCAUUAAUACUAAAUAUGCUGCGGUCUGUCUGCUGAUCUGAUACUGUAAUAAAGAUGAAUGUAUAAUAACUGAUUAAAACGCAAAAUGUACAACUUUCAGUAAAUAACUAUUUACAUGCUUUGGACGUUUGUGUUGUAAUAAUGUACAGGGUAAGUUCACAUAUAAAAACGAAGACGAGUAAAGUGAUGUUUUAUCAUUAAAAUCUGAUAACGUCCAUUGAUUUAAUAGAACGUUUGGGUAUACCAACAUGGCGGCGCGGUGGCUUCACAAGUGUGACGUCAUGCGCAAUCCAGUCAUUUAUAUAGAUCAGUGGUGUGUCGUCGUAUCUGUUCUGCUCAUCUAGCGCGUAUUUAUUUCUUUAUUAAUAUCUGCUGGGUGAAUAUUAAUACGUAUAUGCUAACAUUAAUUUUGUGACCACAAAAUGACAGCGAGCUAUUAUACGAGAUAUUGUGUCGUCGUGUUUGUCUUCACUCACUUCAUCAUUAUCUGUGUAUGUAAAUCUGGGCUACAGUCCACGACAAAUUUUCUACGGUAGUUUUACGCCUGCAUGCUGGUCCUUUCGUCUAUCGCGGGGAUAUCAUCACUUCAGCGGACAUCGCACUGAAGAGAUCCUGUGCUUGCGUGGCGGUGUGUUUGUGUGCUCACUUGGAUUGAGACCAGCAGUGCUCUUUUAAACAGUGGGUGAGUACUAACUUAUUAUUGUGUAGUUUCAUAAAAGCCUUACUCUUUUCAGUCACAUAACUUUUGUUCAUCUGCUAAUAAUAGGACUAUCCAUACAAAAAGAUGUAUUGUAGAUUUAAGUAAUAUCUGCGAAUAUUUAUGUGAAAAUGUAUUAGUGUUCUGCUGACAUGAGAUCUGAAAAUGUGUUCUAGGACCUGAUAUGGAUUAAUCCAAUGAUCAACGUUUUCCUUUGUAUCCCUGUUUUGUAUACGCUGCCAUUACAUGAUGGUCAUAUGUCCCGGAUGAUCGGGAGAAGUCACGUGGUUCAAUUAUUAUUAUUUUUUUACGUGGUUCAAUUAUCUGUUAAUAAAAUUUUUUUACCAUGCAUUUAGCAUCAGGCAAAGCCUGCAAUCAAUCUAUUAAGACAGAAACAAUAUCUUACUUAUUAUUAUGUUUUUAUGAUAAUAUCAUGUGAUCAUCUGAGUUAGAACAAAAUCUAUUCAUUUUCAGGUAUAACUGUGCAAGUGCCCUGAAUCAUUUUGUUGAAAUGUUAUGUGUUUAAGAUUCUUUAUGACAUCAAGAUGUGGUUUGGGAAGGACCUUCAUCUUAAUCUGAAGACAGGACAUACUGGCUCAAAAAGGUGUUUCUGAUAUGGAGAAAAACCCUGCACUGCUCAUUUUAUUUCUUCAUCUUGAGAAUACAGCAAGUUUACCUUUUGUCUGGAAAAUGAUUCAGCAAAGCUAACACCAACAACAAUUUUUCAUGGCACUUUAAACCACCUUGAUGUGAGGAGCCAGCAUCAGAAUGGAUGGUGUCAAUAUCCUGAAAGUGGAGGUAACAGAGGUGGAUCUCAAGACUUGGCCAUGUUCUAGAUUAUAACUGGAUUAUCACAAGUGCUGUCGCCCCUGCUGUAUAUGACGCCCCCACCACCUACACCAGGUGUAGGAAAUGUCGGUCCUGGAGUGCCGUUGUCCUGCAGAGUUUUGCUCCAGCUCUAAACAAACACACCUGAACAACUAGAUCUGAAGAGUCACCAGAAAACUACAGGUAGGCGAGGUUUAAUCAGGGUUGGAAAUAAAAUCUGCAGGAUUUCGGCACUCCAGGACCGACGUUGCCUACUCCUGCCACCACCACCCAUACUACCUACAAAAAACUGUAUUGUAAUUAUGCUUGUAUGAUGUGGUUUUCUCAUUUAGGGUAACUACACUAUGGCAACAAUUGGAUACAUUGAUUGCUGACUGAUUUUGUUAUUUUUUCUUUACUUUUUGUUUAAAAUCUAAUCAUUUUUUUGUUAUUUUUGUUAAUAUUGUUACAAAUAUACAGUUAAAACUGCACAAUAAAUUUUCUGCUUUUAAAAAUA